rnacentral:rRNA from 1 species
UGAUGACCUUGAAAAACAUGGCCGUAGAGUCAGACAUCGCGAUUCCACUUUUCGUCGUCACGGACAUCUUGCUGUUUUCGGUGGCCAUUUUCGUCUUCGCAGAGCCCUGCAAGCAGUGCCGCCGCGCCGCCGCGCCGCCGACGUUUGACAUCGACAUCGACGAAAUACAUCGGCGCAGCACUUGCUGAGGCCGAACCCGAGGACCAGGCCGAGGCUCCAACCUUUGGCGCGAUGGCGGUGGAGGAGCCCUAGCCUU